CCUACGGGUGGCAGCAGUGGGGAAUAUUGCACAAUGGGGGAAACCCUGAUGCAGCGACGCCGCGUGAAGGAAGAAGUAUUUCGGUACGUAAACUUCUAUCAGCAGGGAAGAAAAUGACGGUAACUGACUAAGAAGCCCCGGCCAACUACGAGCACGCAGCCGCGGGAAAACGUAGGGGGCAAGCGUUAUCCGGAUUUACUGGGUGUAAAGGGAGCGGAGGCGGUUUAGCAAGUAAGAAGUGAAAGCCCGGGGCUCAACUCCAGGACUGCUUUUGAAACUGUUGAACUAGAUUGCAGGAGAGGUAAGUGGAAUUCCUAGUGGAGCGGUGAAAUGCGUAGAUAUUAGGAGGAACACCAGUGGCGAAGGCGGCUUACUGGACUGUAAAUGACGCUGAGGCUCGAAAGCGUGGGGAGCGAACAGGAUUAGAUACCCGAGUAGUC
rnacentral:rRNA from 1 species